GCCGGGCGUGGUGGCUCACGCCUGUAAUCCCAGCACUUUGGGAGGCUGAGGUGGGUUGAUCACCUGAGGUCAGGAGUUUGAGACCAGCCUGACCAACAUGGCGAAACCCCGUCUCUA
rnacentral:SRP_RNA from 2 species